AAAUAGAUACCCCGGGUAGUCCACGCCGUAAACGAUGGAUGCUAGCUGUUAUGCGUAUCGACCCGUGUAGUAGCGAAGCUAACGCGUUAAGCAUCCCGCCUGGGGAGUACGAACGCAAGUUUAAAACUCAAAGGAAUUGACAGGGACCCGCACAAGCGGUGGAGCGUGUUCUUUAAUUCGAGGCUAAGCGAAGAACCUUACCAGGGCUUGACAUCCUUGGAAUUUCUCCGAAAGGAGAGAGUACUUUAUUGGACCAAGUGACAGGUGCUGCAUGGCCGUCGUCAGCUCGUGUCGUGAGAUGUUUGGUUAAGUCCAUUAACGAGCGCAACCCUUAUGAAUAGUUGUAUUUUUCUAUUCAGACUGCCCCGGUAACGGGGAGGAAGGGGGGGAUGAUGUCAGGUCAGUAUUGCCCUUACGCCCUGGGCUAGAAACGCGCUACAAUGGCCGGUACAAUGCGCUGCCAACCCGCGAGGGGGAGCAAAUCGCAUCAAAGCCGGUCCCAGUUCGGAUAAGAGGCUGAAACUCGCCUCUUUGAAGCCGGAAUCGCUAGUAAUCGGUA
rnacentral:rRNA from 1 species